rnacentral:rRNA from 2 species
GCAGUCGAACGAACUCUGGUAUUGAUUGGUGCUUGCAUCAUGAUUUACAUUUGAGUGAGUGGCGAACUGGUGAGUAACACGUGGGAAACCUGCCCAGAAGCGGGGGAUAACACCUGGAAACAGAUGCUAAUACCGCAUAACAACUUGGACCGCAUGGUCCGAGUUUGAAAGAUGGCUUCGGCUAUCACUUUUGGAUGGUCCCGCGGCGUAUUAGCUAGAUGGUGGGGUAACGGCUCACCAUGGCAAUGAUACGUAGCCGACCUGAGAGGGUAAUCGGCCACAUUGGGACUGAGACACGGCCCAAACUCCUACGGGAGGCAGCAGUAGGGAAUCUUCCACAAUGGACGAAAGUCUGAUGGAGCAACGCCGCGUGAGUGAAGAAGGGUUUCGGCUCGUAAAACUCUGUUGUUAAAGAAGAACAUAUCUGAGAGUAACUGUUCAGGUAUUGACGGUAUUUAACCAGAAAGCCACGGCUAACUACGUGCCAGCAGCCGCGGUAAUACGUAGGUGGCAAGCGUUGUCCGGAUUUAUUGGGCGUAAAGCGAGCGCAGGCGGUUUUUUAAGUCUGAUGUGAAAGCCUUCGGCUCAACCGAAGAAGUGCAUCGGAAACUGGGAAACUUGAGUGCAGAAGAGGACAGUGGAACUCCAUGUGUAGCGGUGAAAUGCGUAGAUAUAUGGAAGAACACCAGUGGCGAAGGCGGCUGUCUGGUCUGUAACUGACGCUGAGGCUCGAAAGUAUGGGUAGCAAACAGGAUUAGAUACCCUGGUAGUCCAUACCGUAAACGAUGAAUGCUAAGUGUUGGAGGGUUUCCGCCCUUCAGUGCUGCAGCUAACGCAUUAAGCAUUCCGCCUGGGGAGUACGGCCGCAAGGCUGAAACUCAAAGGAAUUGACGGGGGCCCGCACAAGCGGUGGAGCAUGUGGUUUAAUUCGAAGCUACGCGAAGAACCUUACCAGGUCUUGACAUACUAUGCAAAUCUAAGAGAUUAGACGUUCCCUUCGGGGACAUGGAUACAGGUGGUGCAUGGUUGUCGUCAGCUCGUGUCGUGAGAUGUUGGGUUAAGUCCCGCAACGAGCGCAACCCUUAUUAUCAGUUGCCAGCAUUAAGUUGGGCACUCUGGUGAGACUGCCGGUGACAAACCGGAGGAAGGUGGGGAUGACGUCAAAUCAUCAUGCCCCUUAUGACCUGGGCUACACACGUGCUACAAUGGAUGGUACAACGAGUUGCGAACUCGCGAGAGUAAGCUAAUCUCUUAAAGCCAUUCUCAGUUCGGAUUGUAGGCUGCAACUCGCCUACAUGAAGUCGGAAUCGCUAGUAAUCGCGGAUCAGCAUGCCGCGGUGAAUACGUUCCCGGGCCUUGUACACACCGCCCGUCACACCAUGAGAGUUUGUAACACCCAAAGUCGGUGGGGUAACCUUUUAGGAACC